GUUGGAGGGUAAUGUGGCUGCUGGCUAAAAAAUUGGCGAGGUCAAUUGGCUUUUGGAAAAAUUGGCCCUGGUGUUAGGUAUGUAUGUAUUUGUGUCAAUGUGUGCCAUGUAAUGGACUGGUGUCCUGUCCAUGGUGUAUCCCCCCUUGCAGCUGUUGCUUGCUGGGGUAGGCACCAGCUUUCUUGUGACUCUUGGCUGGAUUAUAACUGGAUUGAUAGAUAAAAUUGACUACAGUCAAAAGUAUAGACUGGAAUCUUUUAUUGGAUAAUAUACUUUUUUCUGUGACUUCAAGAAUGGUAUUUCUAAAAGUCUGUUGCUGUUUUAAAGCAUACUUCUAUAUACUAUUGGAGCAGGAGUAUAUGAUAAACAACGUUGCUCUUAGCUACUCCCAAGUGUUUAAGACUAUAGGUCUGUCAAUCCAACUGCCUCAGAGUUUGCAUGUUCAUUUGUCCGAAUUACACGAAACUGAUAAAACUAUCAAGUAACCAACCAAACGAACAUAACUAAAAACCAUCAUUCGAACUGCCCUAAAUUAGAAUCCUGAAAGACCCAAGUGCCUGUGCAAAUUUGUCAUGCUGUUUUUCUUCUUAGGACGAGAGCAGGUGCACACUUAGCCUGGUGGUGUAUGUUUUAUUAAUAUGUGCCUCUAGAACAGGGCACAUGGUGUGUGAAAGCACUGAAGCUUUGGCUGCGGUCCUGCAUGGCAUUCAAAAGUGCAGUCCUUGACAACAGGAAACGCCUACAGCAGCCUCUCGCAGGGUGGAAGAAGCAGACAAGGACAGCAUGGGGUAUACUAUUGAAGCACAGGGACUGCCAAUGAUGCUGCAGUUCAGUGGUGGACAAAGUGGGUCCUUCUAAAGAUGACACGACGACAAGACAUCUGGGCUUGAAGGAAUAUCCUACACUGACAUGCUCGCAGUUCGUCCACUUACUCAAGUGUUGAUUCUUCUGAAUAGCCUUUUGUGUAUCAUUAUCUUUUGUAGAAAGGUAUCUUGUAGAUAUGUUUACUGAUUUUUUGGGACAGUACAAUAUGGCCAUCGUGG